rnacentral:rRNA from 1 species
AAUCUCUAGCGAGAACCUUUUUUAUCCGUACCUAAAACCGACACUGGUGGGUGAGUUGAGAAUACAAAGGUGAACGAGAGAACCCUUGCUAAGGAACUCGGCAAAUUAAUGGCGUAACUUCGGGAGAAGCCAUGCCCCCGCUUGGCGGGGGCCGCAGGAAAACACUCCAAGCGACUGUUUAUCAAAAACACAGGUCUCUGCUAAAUCGUAAGAUGAUGUAUAGGGGCUGACGCCUGCCCAGUACCGGUAUGUUAAAUGCGAAGGUUAUUCCGCCGAGAGGCGGGAGAAGCUUUCAAGUGAAGCACCGGUGAACGGCGGCCGUAACUAUAACGGUCCUAAGGUAGCGUAAUCCCUUGUCGGGUAAACAAUCGGAAUUUGCCCGAAUUGUACUGUAAAGUAUGAUAAGUAAACUAGCUAAUAACGGGGAAACCUUCUUCUUAAAGCUACCAUGAAUUUAAGAAAUGGUAAUCCCGUGGGAAUCCUCGCCGAUUCGGCGGGGGAACCCCUAACGACUGAGUCGAAAGACGAGAUCUCGUUUGAUUAUGAUAUAAUUUAGCCAAACGAGAUAAUACGCUAGCUCUUGCCAGAAGAAAGGUGUCAUGGAGUUUCCUUCUUUUGUAACAGGAUUUUCAGAUGGUGAAGCUUGUUUUUCUGUCUCUUUCAGUUUUAGAAAGAAACUUAAAACAGGUAUUGAAGUAAGACCAAGUUUUUGCAUUGCUCAGCACAAACGAAACUUGUCUCUUUUAAAAGAAGUACGAGAUUACUUUGAUUGUGGAAGUAUAAGAUUCAGUAAAAGAGAUCAAAAUUAUAAGUUUGAAGCUAGAAGCAUCAAAGACUUAACUGAUAAAGUAGUCCCUCAUUUUAGAAAGCAUAAACUGCAAUCUACAAAGAAAGAGGAUUUUGAAAAGUUUGACAUAAUUUGUCAGCUUAUUUCAAGUAAUCACCACCGCUCAAAAGAUUAUCUAGUUCAAAUAAUUGAACUGGCUUAUCAAAUGAAUGAGAGCGGUAAAAGAAAACAUACAAAAGAAAAGCUUCUAAAACACUUAAGCAAGAUGAAGAGAUAGUCUGAUUUUUUGUGGAAACACAAAGACAACAAAUGAAGUUCCGACCUGCAUGAAAGGCGUAACGACUUGGAGACUGUCUCAGCAAGGGACUCGGCGAAAUUGCAAUGGCCGUGAAGAUGCGGCCUCCUUGUACCAGGACAAAAAGACCCCGUGGAGCUUUACUGCAGCUUGACACUGGAUUAAGGUUUAGGAUGUGUAGCAUAGGUGGGAGCUUGUGCGUAGCACAAGAAGACUCUAUUUUCAAAUUCUAAGCACAAAAUUCGAAGUUCCAAAUAAAUAUAAAUAUCAAAGCACUAAAUAAAAAAUUAGAAUUUAGGUUUUAGAAUUUAAGCUUCAUUUGGAAUUUAGGAAUUAGAAUUUAGUGCUUUAAGUUGUAGGGUUUUCUCGCGCUGCGCGCGAGCGCCAAUGAAAUACCACCCUUUCUGAAUUUUGAUUCUUAUCCUUUUUCCGUGAAUCCGGUGAGGAGACAAUGUCUGGUAGGCAGUUUGACUGGGGCGGUCGCCUCCCAAAGAGUAACGGAGGCGCCCAAAGGUCGACUUAUCCGGGAUGGAAAUCCGGAGGUAAGCGUAAAGGUAGAAGUCGGCUUAACUGCGAGACCUACAAGUCAAGCAGGGACGAAAGUCGGGCUUAGUGAUCCUACGGUUUGCUUGUGGUAGCGCCGUAGCUUAUCGGAUAAAAGCUACCCCGGGGAUAACAGGCUGAUCUUACCCAAGAGUUCAUAUCGACGGUAAGGUUUGGCACCUCGAUGUCGGCUCGUCGCAUCCUGGGGGUGAAGUAACUCCCAAGGGUUGGGCUGUUCGCCCAUUAAAGCGGCACGUGAGCUGGGUUCAGAACGUAAAAUCAUUGCGUUCUACACCAGUAAUGGUGUAUAAUAAAUCUGACUAAUAUCGGUGAAACCCUCGAUGAGUCUACCGAACGCUCAUCAGGGCAAUACCGAGGGAAGAUAGAAGUUCUUAUGCAAGAAAAAACAAAGGCUUAUAUUGCUGGUUUUUUAGAUGGUGACGGUUGUGUGAUGUUUCAACUGGUGAAGAGAAAAGGUUAUAUUUUUGGUUUUCAAAUACGAGCAAGUGUUGUUUUUUACCAGAAAGCUGGAAAUGAGAAUUUCAUGAAUUGGUUGAAACAUAAGUUGAGAGACGGAUAUAUCAGGCAACGAAACGAUCAUAUUUUGGAAUAUACAAUUGUGGGACAUCGACCAGCAAUGAGGGUUUUAAGCUUGGUUGCGCCUUAUGUUUUUCUGAAAAGAAAACAGGUUAAGCUGGGAUUGCAACUUCUCAAACAACUUGUUGAAAAACGCGAACGAUAUACUUCGCAGGAGUUUUUAAAGUUAUGUAAACAGGUUGAUAAAAUAAGCGAAUUCAAUUAUACGAAAAAGAAAAUACAUAAUUUUCAGGAAGUAAAAAGAUAUCUAAGCGACAAAGAACUUCUUUCCCCGUAGAGACUGAUCCCCAGGCUCAUAAGCGGUUAUGAGCGUAAGGUGAGAUUAUCAUCUAGUAAUAGAGAUAAUCAUACGUCGGCCCCUAAUUGAAAAAUUUACCGCAAUAUUAGGGUGAAGAUAUAGUCCAUGCCACACGAAAGUGUUUGGAAAAUCAUGCGUGAGACAGUUCGGUCUCUAUCCGGUACAAGCGUUAGAUUCUUGAAGAGGGCUGUCUCUAGUACGAGAGGACCGAGAUGGACGAACCUCUGGUGUACCAGUUGUCCUGCCAAGGGCAUCGCUGGGUAGCUACGUUCGGUUGGGAUAAACGCUGAAAGCAUCUAAGUGUGAAGCCCACUCUAAGAUGAGGAAUCUUAAUACCCGCCGCAAGGCGGGCGAGACUCCAGGAAGACUACCUGGUAAAAUAGUCCGGCAUAUGCCGGGACGGAUAGGCGGUCGGUGUAAGUGCAGUAAUGCAUUCAGCCAAGCCGUACUAAUAAGUC